rnacentral:rRNA from 1 species
UACGAAGGGUGCAAGCGUUAAUCGGAAUUACUGGGCGUAAAGCGUGCGUAGGCGGUGAGUUAAGUCUGUCGUAAAAUCCCCGGGCUCAACCUGGGAAUGGCGAUGGAUACUGGCUCGCUAGAGUGUGAUAGAGGAUGGUGGAAUUCCCGGUGUAGCGGUGAAAUGCGUAGAGAUCGGGAGGAACAUCAGUGGCGAAGGCGGCCAUCUGGAUCAACACUGACGCUGAGGCACGAAAGCGUGGGGAGCAAACAGG